rnacentral:rRNA from 1 species
CUACGGGAGGCAGCAGUCGAGGGUCUUCGGCAAUGGGCGCAAGCCUGACCGAGCGACGCCGCGUGUGCGAUGAAGGCCUUCGGGUUGUAAAGCACUGUCGAGGGGGAGGAAGCCGCAAGGUUGACCUAUCCCUGGAGGAAGCACGGGCUAAGUUCGUGCCAGCAGCCGCGGUAAGACGAACCGUGCGAACGUUGUUCGGAAUCACUGGGCUUAAAGGGCGCGUAGGCGGGUUCCCAAGUCAGGGGUGAAAUCUUUCGGCUUAACCGGAAAAGUGCCCCUGAUACUGGGAGUCUCGAGGGAGAUAGGGGCAUGUGGAACUUCCGGUGGAGCGGUGAAAUGCGUAGAUAUCGGAAGGAACGCCGGUGGCGAAAGCGACGUGCUGGAUCUCUACUGACGCUGAGGCGCGAAAGCCAGGGGAGCAAACGGGAUUAGAAACCCGAGUAGUCC